rnacentral:lncRNA from 1 species
UUUUUGGUUGAGGUUUGCAUGUGGAGCCGUAGACCGCUGUGUAUUGCUAUCAUACGGUCAAUACUAAAGUUGGUAUAACGAGAGAAGCGAGCGGUCGGCAACAUUCAUCAAUCGAGGGGGUGUCUAACUCGGUGUUACGGUGUAUUUAACCAUAACAUAAUUUUACGCCGGAACAUCACUUUAAGUCCUAGUCAUCUGAAAUCUAUUCACAUGACAGCUGAGACACAAACUGUUUUUCCUCCCAUACCAUAUUAAGCAGUUAGCAAAAACAUGCGCAUUUUCUAACAUGCUUUAACUUGCACUGAAAUCUUUAAAUGCACGGCUAGAGCAUUACCUCCUUCCUCAUUAUUACAGAACUAAACUUCCUCCUUUGAAGCCCAACACCCUCCAACAAAAAUAGAUCAUUGAAAGCACUCAAAAUAGACAAUCUCUGUGUCACUGAACACCCACGCCCAUCAACAAUCACUGCAGGAUGAGGCUAUCUGUGGGAUUAAACAGACGAAAAAUCCAUUGUUUACUAUACCAGGGAUUGACAGCAGAAAGAAGUGUGUUUCAGUUUGGGUUACAUUUACACGAUGUUUUAAUUGAGUCUUGCCAAGAGGCCGCAGAGAAAAAGGAGCUUUAAGCUAACCAAGAACAAUGCAUCAAUUUGCAACAUCAAUGCUAAAUUUGCAUCAAAGGAGUCUUUACUUAUUUUGUCCUCUUCAUGCUGAAUAGUAUCUCUGAAAAAUCUCAUCCUACCUCCUUUUAUGGUCAAAUGUGUAAUCUAUUGUUUAUAUUUUGUGUAGAAAUUGAAAACAACAGCUAUUUCUGAAUCUGCUCCCUUUGACAAACAUUCGGAUUUACAGGAUUCAUUGUCAUUCUUGACACUGAUGGUUUUGUUUUCUUUGGGAUAUCACAAAAAGGCAAAAGUAUGAAUUUGAUCUAUUUGGAGCUUCAAACUGUUUAAUACCAACACCAUGCGCCAUUUUUGCCACACAGAUCCUCUGUAGUAGACAAAUAUAUAUAGUGUACCAGUCAGUGUUGUUGCUAAGGCCAUUGCAGUUGCUAAGGCUAUUGCUGUCCAAAUAAACAGGGAAACAUCUCCAAUGCACUGCACAUCAAAGUUAGUGCUGACUUGUCCCUACAUUUGUCAGUCAUUCUCAGUGCUCAGCUGUUGCUUAGCCAGCCCAGCUUGUCAAAUGACUGAGACCUGCUGAAUAAGGUCAGACCAGCUAGCUGUCAUACCUGAAAAGUAAUCUGUGUUUUCCAAAGAACUCCAGAAGAGUUAAAGCUGUACCUGCCAACACAUAUGCUGCAUUUUGCACAUGUAGAAAGUGUCCAUUUUCAGUUGCCCAUAGUCGAAUUCAGACACAUAAAACCAUAAAAUCAUGAGCAAACACAGUGGGUGCUGGAUGGAAUUUGCAUGGUUGUGGCCAACUUCAGUGACGCAAACACUGGUGACUACCAACAGAAGGAGGCUGCUUGAGAGGGCACCAAUGAUAUCCUUGUAUUUUAUGUUAUCAGUGUUACUUAUUACUUAUUUUAUUAUUAUUUUUUUUUUGGUUGAUCAUGGGAAACACAAUUUUUUCAUUUGGGGUAGCAUGUUCAGUUGCGAUGCUAGGUGUACUGAUUAAAAAUCCAGUUAUACAAUGAGCUUGUAUAUGGGGGUGUGCGGUUAAGGGUUUAACAGUGUGAUAUUUUUAACAACAUUUUUCAGUAGUUUGGUAGUUUUCAGUGUCAGUUUAAUCCAGUAGGCCUACAUAUCUUCGUAGCUUAGCUUAGGGUAACCAUACAUCCUCUUUUACUCGGACAUGUCCUCUUUUGUGGGAACUAUCUGUUUUUAUAACCCCUUGAAUGUCCGUGGUUUUUGUGUGGAAGUUUUGAGUUUGUGUCGCGUGGACUUACUGAGUUAGAAGCACAAAGAAAAACACUCAACCCGACCGAAAAAACUCCCAAAAUUAAUUACGCAUGACUGCGCCCCGCGUAGUAGUGUCCUCUUUUUGGGGAUUCAGAAUAUGGUCACCCUAACUUAGCUGUUGUAUCGAUGAUUCAGGACAGUAGCAUCCGCACAAGCUUAAUUUUUUCAUUCAGCACAAUGGAGUGCUUUGUCCCAGUCUUAUCUGAACUGCUGUGGGUGAGUACAUGACACCAGGCUUUAUUUACACAUUUUUAUUGCACCUUUGAAAACAUGGGUUUACAAAGUGCUUUGACAUCCAAGCAAAACUGUACACAAGAAGAGAGCAAGCUGUUGGUAGAUUUAGUGUACAGCUAUUUUACAUCCAAGAAAAGUGUUUCUCAGUCCAUAUCAUGCAUGGUUAUACAGAUAUUUGAUGAAUAUUCAGCUCGUAGGCUGUGUGGCUGAUGUAAUGAUCAGAGAGAGCGGAUCUCACACUUGCUUGUUGCUGUCUGUUCUUGUAUCCUCUGAUUAAGACAGAUAAGGAGCUGGAGGUCCCGAGUUACACUAACAGGAUUUCCAGUCCAGCCUGCUAAAUUGUAAAACCUUGUAAAGGCUGGAUGGACCUGCCACAGGGGAGCAGAGCUGCUUAUUCAAACUCAUCACAUUUUUCAAAAACCCAUGAUCUGAGCAGUUUGAGGAUAGAAGGUCGGCAUCCUCUGCGGCGCUGUGUUUAGGUUGUUACAGACUGGUGCUGCAAAUGCAAGAAAAAGGAAGUGAAGCCUGUAGCAAUGCAGACUGAGCAGACUUUUAAUAAAUUCCUUAGUAAGUGUUCUUUGCUACUCAUAUACUGGUACUUCAAAUAGGUAAUAAAACCCCCACCCACUGACUUGUUGAAACUUGAAAAUAAAUAGAGAAAGAGCAGUGAGCAAAACAUUGAACGGGGCGCAACACAAGAUUAAAGAGUCUAUUGGCAAACAAUGUCUAAUCAGUUGGCGGCCAUGCCCCCCAUGUAGCUUGACAAACUAUUGUACUUUGCCAUACUUCUGUUGCCAGUUGUGCAGAAUUGGUCUAUAGUAUUAUAGGAGUAGUCAAACGGGUAUUUAAAAGCCCCCAUGAGUAGCUAGGAGAUAGAGAUAGGCAUAUGAUCCUGAGCUCUGAAGCUUGUAUUACUGGAGUGAACCACACAGCUUCACUUUGACAUGUCGAAGCUUGUGUCAGAGAUGAAAGAUCAUAUCAGAAGCCUCAAAUGUCACCAGCGUUUCAAAGACUCAUUAGUCCACGAGAUGGUCUUGUAUUUAAACUGUGGUUAAAGGUAGAAAGAAAGUCAGCUCAACUACCAAUUGUGUGUACUUAUGUUUUACAUGCGAAAAUACAAGUAAUACUAUUUCUUUUUGAUAAUGCAUAGACAAUUAUUCAUUUGCAGUAAACUCACACGAAAGUUGCUGCUAUCAACGUAUGACUAUGCCUGUAUAAUACUAAAAAGUUUGAACAGUAGACAGACUUAUACAUAGACGGAUAUAUGAAUAGUAUUGAACCCACACAAAGGCGUCACAGACUAUUAUUUCUCACAAAGGGUGAAACUGUGAAAAGAGGUGUACCGGUGCCUCAGACCACCAUUUAGAGGGCUGUCAUUAGUUUACAAGCCACCAGAUAUCACAGUGUUCGCUCAGUCUGAAGCUUCAAAGCUUUGAAUCUUUUCCUCACAAAUUGAAAGGAAACUCUUAGUUUAUACGGCUUUAUCUGACCAUCACUACUGGCUGAAGGCUGUACAUUUCAUGCCUGCAAAUAUUAAUAAUUUGUUUAAAUGACUAGCGAAGGUAAUGACAUGAAGUUUUUCAUCCACUUAAUGUGCACAUCUCUAGUCUCUUUGUUUUUGUUAUCAACCUCUAUUCAUCAAUAAAAUGCACCCAAGGGUGGUGUUGAAAAAACAGGCAAAACCUCUUGUUCAUAGAUAUGAGGCAAAGCAAGCAAUCAGCUUGUUUUCCAGUCCAUGAACUUGUCAAUAAAUACCCCAGCAAAGAUCAUUAUAGUUUGUAUAUGGCAUAAUUUCUCGAUUGGGUUUUCGUUAAUCCAGCAUAAUAUGUAUUUAUCUUUAACGUUAAUACAGAAUUAAAAAAAGACAUUAAACAGGUAAUGCUUUUGGGCAUGGCUAAAUGUGAUUAUCUUGUAAUGUGAUUUCACAUUAUUUGAUCUGAUCACAUUUGCUCUCAAAAAGAAAGAUGGUGAUCAUCAAAUACAAGUACGUCCAGAGGUCUCAUAUGUGGGUUCACAUUUAGUGAGUUACACCUGGUGGCUGUCAGUUGUUUGUGUACAGAGUGUAUUUUAUUAAAUACAAGUACAUCCAGAUUUGUAGUUUCAAAUGUGCUACCUCCACUCCACUGAGAAGUUCCUCUGCAGCAGCUGAGAUUACACUUGGCUGUAUCUCCAGUCCAAACAUUCACAUUUGGUAUACUCUUUACUUUAGACAGACUCAACACUGCUAAAGGUGUGUGUUCAUGGCUGUCAGGCUAGCAUGCCCAGUGUGAACAAAUUAUGCAAUCUGAGACUAAUCACAUAACUCUGGUGACCGGUUGAGUCUCAGUCUCCUGGCAGUGAAUCAGGCUGUGCAAAUAGUUUGAUUAGUUCAACUUGCCAGCCUGCACACAAAGCUGUGAUUAAAACCAACUGCAGCUUUGCUUCGGUCACACAGUCAGAUUGUUCUGCCAGGAGGGAAAAGAUAAAAUUCAAUUAAGAUUUGGUUAAACUGCUGGCGAAAGCCUCUUGUUAAUUUCCUAAACCCUUUUUUUAAGCUUUUGUCGCCCCAUUACUAUUUCUCUAACCUAAAAGCUAAUGCACAAUGACUCAUACAUGUUUAUGGUGGCGUUCUUAUGAAGUGCUCUCAUAAAUGAUGGCUGCAUUUUCCUCAUUGACAUUUAUACGUAGAAUUCCAAUUAGGAAAGCUUUAUUUGAAAAAAGUAAUGAAGUCAAAAGUUUUGACACAGUGUACCUUGAAACAAUAAGAUGGAAGGGAGUCUGAGGUGUUUAGACCCUGUUAUGAAAUCCUAAUUUUUCAUGGGGGCAUGUGGUUGGAAUGAAUUUUGCUGCAUACUAGCCCCUGGUAAAUAGUAUGGAGCAAAAGCUGAAGAUUUGUAGAGAUGAUAGAUGGAAAUCCAACUUAUUUGGAGAGUUGUAUAACUCAGUUAACUUCUGACCAACAAGGGCAGAUGAUCUGCAAAGGCCUAAAUUGCCCUCAUUCAGAGGAAUGAACUGCAAAUGCAGACACAACAAAACUUCAA